rnacentral:rRNA from 1 species
GCUAGUAAUGGCAGGUCAGCAUACUGCCGUGAAUACGUUCCCGGGCCUUGUACACACCGCCCGUCACACCAUGAGAGUUGGGAAUACCCGAAGCCUGUGAGCUAACGUUAAGAGGCAGCAGUCGAAGGUAGAAUCAAUGAUUGGGGUGAAGUCGUAACAAGGUAGC